UACGUAGGGAGCAAGCGUUGUCCGGAAUCAUUGGGCGUAAAGCGCGCGUAGGUGGCUCUAUAAGUCCGUUGUGAAAGUCAAAGGCUCAACCUUUGAAAGCCGAUGGAUACUGUAGAGCUAGAGUCCGGAAGAGGCGAGUGGAAUUCCUGGUGUAGCGGUGGAAUGCGCAGAUAUCAGGAGGAACACCGAUGGCGAAGGCAGGUCUCUGGGCAUUAACUGACGCUGAGGAGCGAAAGCAUGGGGGAGCGAACAGG
rnacentral:rRNA from 1 species